rnacentral:ncRNA from 1 species
ACCAAGAUAUAUGGGUCUCAAUCUAGAGACUUGUCAUAGAUAGAAAUAUUAUCCAACUUUAAAACCAUCGUCGUUAGAGGUUGCUUCCGCAAGGUUAAGCGAUCCAUGAAACGGUGAUGACCUGAGGAAUGGAACAUGC